GCUGAUGAAAUGAAGAACAAACAUUUUGAAAUUAGAUUGCAGGUGAGAAUCUGAGCCAGUCAAAUGGAGGAACUUUAGCGUGUUGGUUUUUACCUAAACUAUUUUUGAACUAAUAAGUAGUGCUUAACUUGCAUCUGAUAAAUCAAUGACUCUGAGUUCAAUAUAUUCUCGAAUAGUUUCACUUAUUUCACAGUUUCAUAAGCAGUAUACUUUUACAUGAGAAAUUCUUCUUCUAAUUGGAAUCUAACUUUUAGUCAUUUUUGUUGGCAGUUUGCGCCUGAUAUAUUUCAUUGGGUGUUAUUAUCUUCUCUCUUUAUUCCAUUUUGAUUCUCUUGUUAAUUAAUAUAUAUUUUUUUGGUCCUUUUCAAACCUAUAUGUUUCAGAUUUUGCUCAUUUAGUUUUUAUGAAACUUUCUCCGUUCUUUUUCACAUUUUAUCAGCCUCAUUUCAUGAUCUGCUUGAGCCUAUGGACGUAUUGAUUGAUUUGUGAUUUCUUUUUUGCUCUUUUGCAGCUAGAAAUGAAUUUGUUGUUUUUGAUAUUUAUUCAGGGUUGCAAUCUUUAUUUGUUAUAUGUUGAUCUAGUAUUAGCCGUAUAGCACAAAAGUAUUGGUUUUUUGAUGAGUAACUGCAAUGGUUGUAGGCAUCUCGAGCUCCUGAUACACACAGAUUGCUGGAAUGGUUGAUGAAUCGGUGAAGCUUGCUAGAGAGUUCUGUGAGAAGAAGUGUCCUAUUUACGCGUUUCUUGAUACUCAUCAUCCAAAGGUGAUCUGGCUGCUAUGCCUCACUGGUUCGCCUUCAUCCCGGCAGCCGUGUGGGUCCCACUUUUGGAGCUAAUGCAUCAUGUUGAGAAGGUGGUCGAUAGCAAGGGGAAACCGAGAAAUAUAUGCUAUAUUUGUCCCAUUUUAUUUUUAUUUGAUUAGUGAAAAUGAUAUAUUUUUGUAUGAUGGAUAAUAUUUCAAUGUAAUAUGUAGAAUGAUACAAAUUAUUUUAAUGUAGGAUGAUAAAGAAUAUUUGAAAUUAAUGAAUGACUUUUUUAUUAUUCA